AAUGAAAGAGGGGUUUAAUCAUGCUAUUCUAAAAAUUACAGGGAGAGUAAUGAUAUAACCGAAUUCCGCAAAGCCAAGCGUACUAAACGGCAAAUAACGGGAAUUUCGCUAACCACCUAAACUGAAAAUGGCGCUUCAAAUCAACUUACCUUAUUCUCUCACCAAAAAAUCCUAUAAUCAUCAUCUUGUCCGCGCACCUCUCCUUCUAUCUCGAACCGGACCCAGAUUCAGAAUCCAAUCCCAAAAACCCACCACCAACACCGAACCUACUAACCAUUCAGCCACACCUAAGAAAUCCGCUCCGCCUGGGCUAGGGUUUGGGUCACCAUCUCCUGUGGCUCCAGCCAAGUCAAGUCCAACUAAGGCAGGUCCCAGUGCUGUGAGUAAGAAGAAGAAACAGAGGGGUAAAAGAGAGAGGGCCUCCAUAAUUAGGCGGUUACCGGUUGAGAAGCCAACAUUUGUAAGCCAGGAGGACCAGGAUAAAGCUAAGGAACAGGGUAAGAAUGAGAGUGCCUUUCUUCUUGCUUGGCUGGGCCUUGGUGGGAUCAUUCUUGUCGAGGGCAUUGUGCUUGCUGCAUCAGGGCUGCAGGGCUGGGUGACGAUGGAUUGGUUAAUGCCACAAAUCAGCAAGUUUGGCAGUAGUUUCUGAACAACAUGAAAUUCCUGUUUUCUUUGACAUUCGUCACCUCUAGUGUUUUAUAUUUCAUUUAUUCCAUUGGUUGAAGUUUUCAAAUUAAUAGUAAAGACUGACAUGUUUGAAAUCGCUCUUUCAAGUGAACAACAUCAUCUGUUCCAGAAUGUGAGAAGUUGUGGAAAGGUUAAUUUGACUUCGUGCUGAUGUUGGUUUCAAGGAACCCCAUGCUUUUGUAGCCAGGUCUACAUUUUGGAAGUUCAUCGUUAAGAGUUUGAUUUUAUGGUUUGUUCAUUAGCAAAAAUGAGCACUGAUUAUACCAGUUUGGCAGAAUCCAGGGAAGAUUUAAUUGGAUUUGAAGGCUCUUAAAGGAUGAAAAAGUUUCUAUAAUUUGAUUUUGCACAUCAAACAUAUGCUGCUAGGUAGAGUUAAGCAUUAAAGCCCCUCGUACGGAGUUCACAAUUAUGAGCAUAUCAAUUUACAAGCUUUAUGCCUAGUCACUCGGGAUGACACUGUUUUUUUUACCUUCUAGUACCAAUAGAUUAUUUUAGUCAAUGCAGUUGGAACCUUGUCUAUAUAUCCUCAAAACUCAAGUGGUUUCUGUUACUUUAACCUCAGUGAUCAAGUUUUAUUUGCUUUUAUGAUGUGUGGGAAAUUAUCUGAAGUCAUAUCUGUAGUUUCCCUCCAGGGAAUACGAGGGUCAUCUUUUUGGACCACCAAAUCAUUUAGUAUACCGAGUACCAGUUGGUUUCAGAUUUGCAAAUGAAUUCAAUGCAAGCACCCUUUUGUGUCACUUCAUCAAAUUUGUGUGAAAAUUAGAUGACAUGAUCCAGAGAGGUCCCCUCUUCUAAUUAUUGCUUCUCCUCCUUUGCACAUCUUCCCUUUUCAAUGCUAAUCAAUUUGCACCAACUCUUUAUAUCCCUUCUUCUCUUUGCCUCUCUCCCCCUUGUCUUUUUUUUUUUUUUUUUUACUCUCUCUAUUGAUUUAUUCAAAAUUUUUCUCAUUGAUAUUAGUUAAACAAUUAAUCCAUGAUGCGGGUAGGGAAUUCUUUACUUUUUUUCUCUUUUUCUUUCUUGUUCAUCAUUAAUUUGUUUGCCCUGAUUGAUACUUGAUGAUAGUGACCCCUUGUGCUUUUUGUAGUUAAUUUUGUAAUCUCUAGACAGAGGAAGAGAUACAAAGUUAACAAGAAGUUGCAGCUAAGCUAGCUACAGCAUAUAAACAGCUAGUUCCUCCUUUUUUAUUGAUUCUUUGGAUUGAUUCUUUUGGUUUGGUGAAGUUAUAGCCAAGGCCAGAUGCCCAAAGCUACAUAAAUGGGAAAGAUGAGCUUACAAGCAAUGUUGGAUUAGCACCUUCUACGCACGGAUGCAUGUUAUCCCAGCAAUAAUACAUUUUAGUUACUUUAUGCACUUAAUGCCUGUAAAUGGACUAAAUUAGGGUACUCUCUCUCUCUCUCUCUCUCUAUUUAUAAUAAUAAUAAUUAAUAACUUGAGAAAGACCAGAUAAAGGACAAGGAAGGUAUAUUUAAAAGCACGCAAGGGCUUUUUGAUGAAAAAGAUCAAGAGUUGAGGCGCCGCUGCCACUUUUCCACUGAUUCAGAUUCUGAAAUUUAAAUGAGUGUUUCAAUUGCUACGUUUGAA